UACGGAGGGUGCAAGCGUUGUUCGGAAUUAUUGGGCGUAAAGCGCGUGUAGGCGGUUCGUUAAGUCUGAUGUGAAAGCCCUGGGCUUAACCUGGGAAGUGCAUUGGAAACUGGCGAACUUGAGUAUGGGAGAGGAAAGUGGAAUUCCGAGUGUAGGGGUGAAAUCCGUAGAUAUUCGGAGGAACACCAGUGGCGAAGGCGGCUUUCUGGACCAAUACUGACGCUGAGACGCGAAAGCGUGGGGAGCAAACAGGAUUAGAAACCCGUGUAGU
rnacentral:rRNA from 1 species